rnacentral:rRNA from 1 species
UUGAACGCCGGCGGCAUGCCUUACACAUGCAAGUCGAACGGUAGAGGGGCAACCCUUGAGAGUGGCGAACGGGUGAGUAAUAUAUCGGAACGUGCCCAGUCGUGGGGGAUAACGCAGCGAAAGCUGCGCUAAUACCGCAUACGAUCUAUGGAUGAAAGCGGGGGAUCGCAAGACCUCGCGCGAUUGGAGCGGCCGAUAUCAGAUUAGGUAGUUGGUGGGGUAAAA